UAGGGAAUCUUCGGCAAUGGGGGCAACCCUGACCGAGCAACGCCGCGUGAGUGAAGAAGGUUUUCGGAUCGUAAAGCUCUGUUGUCAGAGAAGAACGUGUGUGAGAGUGGAAAGUUCACACAGUGACGGUAACUUACCAGAAAGGGACGGCUAACUACGUGCCAGCAGCCGCGGUAAUACGUAGGUCCCGAGCGUUGUCCGGAUUUAUUGGGCGUAAAGCGAGCGCAGGCGGUUUAAUAAGUCUGAAGUUAAAGGCAGUGGCUUAACCAUUGUUCGCUUUGGAAACUGUUAAACUUGAGUGCAGAAGGGGAGAGUGGAAUUCCAUGUGUAGCGGUGAAAUGCGUAGAUAUAUGGAGGAACACCGGUGGCGAAAGCGGCUCUCUGGUCUGUAACUGACGCUGAGGCUCGAAAGCGUGGGGAGCAAACAGG
rnacentral:rRNA from 1 species